rnacentral:rRNA from 1 species
GACAGAGGUGCCGAGCGUUAGGCGGAAUCACUGGGCUUAAAGCGUGUGUAGGCGGACUUCUAAGUACCUUGUGAAAUCCCGGGGCUCAACCCCGGAACUGCAUUUGAUACUGCUCUGCUAGAGUACUGGAGAGGAGACUGGAAUUUACGGUGUAGCAGUGAAAUGCGUAGAUAUCGUAAGGAAGACCAGUGGCGAAGGCGAGCCUCUGGACAGUUACUGACGCUGAGGCACGAAGGCCAGGGGAGCAAACGGG